AUGCUCAGAACAUACCCUGAUGUCCCGCAAGAAAAAAAAGAAAAUUGGUUGCGUUUCGUUCUAUCUCACAUACCUCUUCUAGGCAUUCCAGGAACAUUCUCUUAUGAGGCGUUAAAUGAACUGAAACCAGAUUUCAUUUUCUCCGCUCAUGAUCACAAAUCAGUGCAUCUAGUGGGAAACACAAAAACUGGAGAGAGAAGUUUCAUACAACCAUUGGUCUCUAACAGAUUUGCAGGGCAUCAUCCGUCAUGGAUUUUUUUCCCACCAUCUAGGGAUACCGUCAAUGAAAUAAUCAUUCCAACAUGCUCCUAUCGCAUGGGAAGCAACUUCAUGGCGUAUGCCACAGCAUAUAUAGGUAAAUAUAUAAUUUUACUAUCACAUUAAUUUUAAAAACAAAUUGACAGCAAAUUAAUCCUGUUUUUGAUCGUAUAAGUAUACCUUCAGCGCAAAUUUUACAGGUCAAAUUUAAAAUCAAUUCCAAUGAUAAUAAGGUGGAGAAAUGGUGCUGGGUCCACACCAUUUGGCGGGGAAAACAAAGCCAAGAAGUUCCAAAAAUUAUAAUUAGAGUCAAAAUUACAGUUCGGGCCACUUCUUAGUGUUUUUUUUUCUUUUCUUUUUUUCCCAAUGAUAAUGUUGAAUUCAUUUUUUCUCCAGGAACCAACCAUUAUUAUAGACUGACUGAUAUCUAAAAUAAUUUGUCAUUAGUAUAUUCAGCAAACCUUUUCUGGGCUUAUCUCAAUUUUGGAUGAAAUAAAAUCUCAUCAGAAAACAUUUACACAAAAAAUAUCUGGAAUGAAAAAUACAAGUCAUAAAUCAGCCUCAUCAAAGUAGUGAUAUUAAUAUUGUUAAAGUAAAUGCUACAUUAUUCUUGCAAUGUUUGAUUUCAUAAAAAUGCCAAAAUCUUUUUUGUAUGCUUUUAUUACUAAAAUCAUCUAUUACAAAAAUUUUAUGGAAUUGGAUUAACCUUUUGAAAAUAACGUGGCAUUGAUUAGACCUCCAGGAUUUGAGAAUUGUUCAGUUUACAAUUCUAUAAUUUAAACUUUAGUUCACCAAGGUAUCAAUUAAAUCUAUGAAGCAAGGUGUUCACCUUGCUUCUCGAAUGAUGCCCCAUCUGCUAAUGUGACUUCUGUCUUUUUCAAAAUGUUGGCCAUUUACCUCCAAAGAAAGCUGAUAAACAACUGUUGUGCACAACCAAAACUGAUGCAUAUGCUGAUGGUAAUGGCGGUCCUUUUUAAGUAUGAUUGCUGCUCAGGUUCAGUAUUUAACUCUUGCAAAAAAAUUGUAUCUUUAUCGAACACUGAGUAUUAUCUCAUCUGUUUCAGAUACUCAAAGGAACGUAAUUCAUUACUCCCUACUCACUCUUCCAUCCAGACUGCUUCACCUUUUCUCAUACCUGUUUUUCUUUACAAUUUGUUUUCUUGUGUCCAUCAUUCAGUACCUAUCACACCUAUGCAGGCAGCCACAGAUCAAGUAUGUUCAAAUUCGAAGUGAUUAAUAUUUUUGAAACUCUUUUACUUAAUACUCUUAUGAAUUUGAGCAAAUUUUAUUUAUAUUUUAUUCAAUUUUUUUGGUUAUUGUAAUUUUUUGUUGUUAUAUUUAGUAUCAUUUGUUAUCUCUCAGGGUAUCCAUGAUUUUACAUCCUGCCAGUCUAAGAUAAAUAAUGUUUUUAUUAAUGUCUAUGUUACAAUGUCAUAGUUCUCAAAUCCCAGGGUUGAACUAACUUUUCCUGACCUCAAUUUUUACUGCGAUUCAACUGCAUUGGCAAUUUUUAACAAAUUGCAAAUUUAUAACAGUGGACCAUUUGACAAGGUUUAUGUAGAACACUAUUUGUAUAACGAAAGUCACUAGAAGUAACUUCUUACCCAGAUUUUACCGUUUUUUGAUGCAUUAAUUCAAACUUCCUGCUCUUAAAAGAGGAAUGAAAAAAAACCCAAUAAUCUACAUACUUAAGUUAAAUUGUACUCUAUACGCUGCUGUAAUAAUCUUUGCUAGUCUAGCUAUUGCAAGUUGUUUACACUUUGGAGUAUGUAUGGUGGGGAAGAAAUUUUGCAUAUUGAGAUGCUUGCCAAAACCGAUGUAGUGUAUGUGAUUCAAGUAGAGUCAGGUUUUUGACGUGAACAGGAAAUUCUUAUUUUUUAUGACCAACGCUAAAUGGAAAUCUUAUUAUCUUGGUCGCAAGCCAAUUCCAUUAACUUCUAUUGCUUAAAUUGCAAUCUAAGUGCAAUUUUCAAGAGGAACACAUUCGUACCUUUUAUGGUGGUCCAUUGCGUCUACUCUCUCCAAGCACAAAUUUCUAUUCUGAGGUAGCAUUUUUAUUAUUUUAGAUGAUGGAUUAUCAGAAUAUAAUUAUGUUACUACGCCUUUUACUUCAAGUUUGAUAAAGGACAAAUAAGUGUCAUCUGAUAAAUAGGAAGGUCCUACAUCAGAAGGGAUUUUUUUUUUUUUUCUUUGUUUAACGUUCUACUCAUUUUAAGUGUUUAAGUGAAAUCGAAGAUGAAUCUGAUUGCUGCUUUCCAGUAACAGGUUUGCACUUUUUACUGUGAAUAACAGCCAGGUGAAGUAAAAUUUUUUUCUGCCGCAAGAAACUGAAAAAGCAACUUUUCUUGUCAGACUUUUAGGUUGCAUACCCUCCUUCCAAAAUCCUCAAUUCAAAUGUUUUCAAUCGCAACACUCGAUGGUGAUUUCUCUUACUGCUAUCAUCUGACUCAAUCUUGUAUGAUUUUCUCACAAUUAUAGUAAAAAUAAUGCUGCUUUGUUUUUUCUCCUAAGAAUUAAUUAUAAAGGUAAUCUAUUAAGUUAAAUUACAAGACAUAAAUAUUGUGAUUUCAAUUAAAUUUUAUGAAGUGAAGUUUUGUGUGAGGGAUGUUAACUGUUAACCAGUAACUGCGAGUAGCUUUUAAUCCUAUGCAGUUAAUUAGAAAAGAAGUGGGGAAUGUGUACACAGUUAUCUUAAUGGACCUUAUGACAAACUACGUUUAACUGACAAGUAGCAACAGACUGAGUUUAAUUGAUCCAUUAUUUAUUCUUUAUUUAAUUGUUGGGUCUAUAAAAAUUUGCACAAUAGAAAUUUUCAAGUCAACUUUGAAGCAAGACAUUCAUUCUCUUAGUCAGCAUUGCUUUUGACAAAUUACAAAGUCCGGCCAUGAAAGAAACUCUCUUUCUCUCAUGGUCCAGCCCAGUAGAAGACCGAAUUCCAAUGAGUCAAAAUGACUAUUAAGAAUGAACUUAUCUGUUUUGCAAGUGACCUCUGUUGAGUUUUUCUGAUCUUGUGUUUUUUCCAUGAUGUAGAAUGCUCUGAUUAAUAUUUUGAAAGAAAUAAACUCUCAAACGAUAUCAUUGAUUGCAAAAUAUGUAGGUAAACAUUUGUCAAGUUCGCCAUUUGACCAGAGUAGAAUUUGCCUCUUUCAUGAGAUAGAUGUUUUAAUUCAUGGUCCAAAAACGUUGACUUCUCGCAUCAGAAUUAUUCCAAGAUAUUAUCAUUGUGUAAAUUGUUUUUUAAUUUUGUAAAAGAAAAAUGUUGCAUAAAAUUUCUGUAGCCACAGUGUAGUGCUUCAUUUUGUAUUGUGUGUUGACUUCGAAUUGUGAGUGAGAUUAAAAUUGUUUUUAUCUCAAGUGCAGUAGGUACUCUAAAGUGCAGGAGUUAGAUUCCAAUUUGAACUGUCCAUAACAUAAUGGUAGAUUUUAAGAGCUUUUUGUGAUAACUGGUUAAACUAUAUUUCGGACAAAUUUGGCUAGCAAAAUUAAAUUAAAUUUUUAUACUUCAAUUUUUGUCUUGAUGUUUUCAUUCAAUCUUUAUUCAAAAUGAAGGUUCAUGGGUUGCUGUUAAGUCUUCAGGAACAUGAUGAAAAUUUGGAUCAUCCAAUUUUGUGUAGAGGUUAAUAGCUGUGCUCUGCAGCACAAAUUAAACCUAAGCCUCAAGUCAUGGCGUUCAUCAUUCAGGAACCAACUUUUUUGCUUUACAUCAUGAGCGAAUUACAUGCUCCGUAGAUUUUCCCUGUUAGUUAAAUUACCUUAUAAAUAUACCGAAACACUUGUUCCUUUUUUUUAUGAAUGCCAUCCAAUGGGCUCUCAGACAAGGUAUAAAUUAAAGCACUGCACCUAACAUAGUUUCUCUUCAAAAUUUCUCGAGAAAAGAGAAUCACAUCAUGGCAAGUCUGAAAAUCAACUCCUAAACAAGAUAUAAAAGCUUACCUUAAAUAUCAUCAGUUAAAUGGAUAAAAUACAAAUGACAUGACGUUAUCUAUAUAUUCUAAAAUCCUUUUUAUUAAAUCCUUUUAUCCUUUUUGUUAAUAUUUCAUUCAGAAGUUUAUUUCCGCACCCCCUAUUGUUUGAACCUUUCUUAUGUAUGUUUUUGAUGAGAAAACAUGUGAUGUCUUUUUCUAGACAAAUCCUUGUUUAGUGGCCACUAUUAUUUGCAAUACACUUUAAUCAAAUUAAUCAAAAAUAUUCUGAAAGCUUAUGAGAAUCAUAUUCAUGAAUACCUAUAGCUUUAGUUCAAAACAUCAAGAAAAUGUCUGCUUUCGACUCUAUUGUGAAAUUUUUUUCUCAAUAAUUUGUCAUGGUUUCUCACUGCUUUAUGUUCAUAGUUUACUCUUACAAAAUUUCAAAGCGAUGAUGUCAAAACAUUAUCUUGAAACCAACAUGAAAGUUGAAUGAAAAUUUUGGAAAAAAACAAGUCAGGUUGGUACACAAAGUAUUUUUGAACUGGAAUAAUUGAUUUAUGAAAUUAAAAGAUCACGUCCGGUAGAAAAUGAAUAUUCAUCUUCUUAGUAAUUGGAAUAAUGUAAAUAUUAAAGGAAAUCCGCACCAUCAGUCGGAAUAAAACGCCCAAGAGGGCAAAAGUUAAAUUUCCAUAACAUAAUGUUUGUUUUAUUGUCAAAAUAUAAUGUAGACUUUGAACAUAAGUAUCAAUAAUUUUCCUAAAUUAGCUUCUUCAUGAAGUAAUUUACAUGAGGGGCAAUCAAUGCAAACCCCCCGCUUCGGAAAUACCAAAAUCGACGUUGUUUAAAAAUUUUCUCCUAUAUUUUACCCUUUCACCUCAUGUGAGGCUCCCACAUAACUGUGCCAAACUCUCGUUUAAGAACCCAUACUCCUGCCUACCUAUCGGUGGGUAAAUCUUGUAGGGUGGGUAUAAAAGUGAUGUGGAUAUUAAACUACGUCCUGUACAUUUAAAAAUAGCAGAAAUAAAGAG
rnacentral:lncRNA from 1 species